UUAUAAAUCUUGCAUAUGAAGUUAUGCUUUUGUAGAUAAUACUCCCUCUGUUUUAUAAAGGUGUAAACCCUUGAAUGGGAAUAUACCCUUUCUAUAAUGUUAGAAAAUUUAAUUUUCAAUAUUUCCUCCACUCAUGGCAAUACGUAUUAAUUUUUUAGACCAUGCUUUCAGCUUACAUGAUUUUCUUGGGUUACACGAUUUUAUUCAAGGUUAUAGGAAGAAGAAGAAAGCAUUCCACGCCGUUAUUCUGACUGCUAUUUGGUGUGUGUGACGUAUGCGAAAGGAUAAAUGUUUAAUCAAGCGGUGUCUUUGGUGAAAGUUGUGAAAGAAAUCAAAGCUAUGAGUUAUUUGUUGGUGAAGAAUAGAUCGAAACAAUAAGUUUAAAGCAGCACUUGUGAUUAUUUCGUAUUUGUUUUUGCUGCUAAUAUUGAAACGGAAAUAAUGGGGGUUCCUGGAAGCGGAUAUAGUUGAUACAACAUGAGUUUUCAUAUAUUCAAGCGCAAAAUAUAGUGAAGGUGAAGCCUAAGUUUGGAAAGGCAUAGAACGAAAAUGAUGAUCUACAUGGACUUCAACGCCAGUAGAUAUUUAUAUUGGUUCAAAUGGCCAACGAUUCUCAAGACCCUAAAGUGCAUGUGAAUUUAUAAAUAUUUCUUUGCAUGAAUUACUUGAUAAGUUAGUUGGGCAACCCCCUUUAUGCAUCAAUUAUUGAUAAACAAAGUCAAGAUUGAAUUUACAUAAC